rfam:Triticum aestivum genome assembly, contig: Triticum_aestivum_CS42_TGACv1_scaffold_377045_5AL
AAUCUAUUACCUCCUUCCCAAAUUACUUGUCUUAGAUUUGUCUAUAUAUGGAUGUAUCUAACACUAAAAUGUCUAGAUAUAUCCGUAUCUAGACAAAUCUAAGACAAGUAAUUCGGGACGGAGGGAGUAUAUC